AUUGAACGCUGGCGGCAGGCCUAACACAUGCAAGUCGAACGAGUGGCGGACGGGUGAGUAAUGUCUGGGACACUGCCUGAUGGAGGGGGAUAACUACUGGAAACGGUAGAUAAUACCGCAUACCAUCGGAUGUGCCUAGAUGGGAUUAGCUAGUAGGUGGGGUAAAGGCUCACCUAGGCUACGAUCCCUCGCUGGUCUGAGAGGAUGACCAGCCACACUGGAACUGAGACACGGUCCAGACUCCUACGGGAGGCAGCAGUGGGGAAUAUUGCACAAUGGGCGCAAGCCUGAUGCAGCCAUGCCGCGUUGAUGAAGAAGGCCUUCGGGUUGUAAAGUACUUUCAGCGGGGAGGCGUUACCCGCAGAAGAAGCACCGGCUAACUCCGGGCCAGCAGCCGCGGUAAUUC
rnacentral:rRNA from 1 species